CAGUGGGGGCAGCCACCCAAGGAGGGGGGCCCCCUCCCCGCCCACGCAGAACCCCGCUCCCGGAGGGGAGGGGGCGCCGGAACUCGGCUCUCUCUAGAGCGCCCACUCUGGCCGCGGAGUGCACGGGAUCUAAGGAGUUAAACGGUUAAUUCGAACGGGAAGACGACACCCAACUGGUUGCCGCUAUGUCAGUCAGUCCGUCCAUCAUGGCGAGGGCGGAGUCGGGUGCUGGCUUGUCCUCGCCGCUACCCCUGGCCAUGGGGAGCGCGUGGGGAGUGGUCCCUGCGCCACGGACGCUGUCCCUGCAGCGGGCAGCGGCUGUGUUCGGGGAAUCUCGUUGGUGGGUCGGAAGAUGGAGAUGAUCCAGAACACCAGGUGUCUGAUACCCUGGCUACCCUCCCACCGCUCUGUGUAUCACCGCCUUUUGUAAAAAGAUUCUGCAGAGGUAAACUGAGGCAGGUCGUCGGCAGCCGCGGGACGCAUCCCCGUGCCCUUUUCAGGCGAGUAAACAGCCGCGCCUCCUCCCCGCAGCCCCAACCAGCAGAGCCCCCCUUCCGGCACCUAAAUCGGGAGUCGCCGUGACUCACGCUCCCGCCUCCCCCAGCGCCGCGCCGAGCCACCGAGCAGAGAGCGAGCGGCAUCCGAGCGCCCCCCUCAUACCCGCCCCGGCCCCGGCCAAGCCCUGAUGGUGGCCCCAUAGGGAGAGCGCACUGGCCUUAAGGCCCCACCUCCAGGACUGCUGAGCUCUCGGACACUAACCCGCUCGGGAGCACGUUAGCAGAACGAGGCCCCUGCCCCCGUGCGCCCCCCUUACGGGCUCCCUGGGGCAGGCCCUGCAGCCUGCCACCACCCUCCCCCCAACCCCUGCACUGUUCUUUAAAAAAGAAAAACAGAAAGAAAAAAAAAA